CCUACGGGCGGCUGCAGUGGGGAAUAUUGGACAAUGGGGGGAACCCUGAUCCAGCCAUGCCGCGUGUGUGAAGAAGGCCCUCGGGUUGUAAAGCACUUUCAGUGAGGAAGAACGCCUGGUGGUUAAUACCCAUCAGGAAAGACAUCACUCACAGAAGAAGCACCGGCUAACUCCGUGCCAGCAGCCGCGGUAAUACGGAGGGUGCGAGCGUUAAUCGGAAUUACUGGGCGUAAAGCGCGCGUAGGUGGCUUGAUAAGCCGGUUGUGAAAGCCCCGGGCUCAACCUGGGAACGGCAUCCGGAACUGUCAAGCUAGAGUGCAGAAGAGGAAGGUAGAAUUCCCGGUGUAGCGGUGAAAUGCGUAGAGAUCGGGAGGAAUACCAGUGGCGAAGGCGGCCUUCUGGACUGACACUGACACUGAGGUGCGAAAGCGUGGGUAGCAAACAGGAUUAGAUACCCUGGUAGUC
rnacentral:rRNA from 1 species